UGAAGCUGAUCCUUCAGGAUGAGUAGGAAGUUCAUCAAAGUGGUCUGUCCCAGAAAUCAACAAAUUUGGUGCCAUGCUUAUAAUUUGAAAUGUUUGCUAUGGGCUUGGAAGAGGAACAGCCCUACGAUACACCUAUUUGAAAUCAGUGAGAAUUUUUCUGGAUCAGAGUUUAAUUUUGACAUCAGGAAUGGUCUUAACCUCUGGCAAGCCAAUUUUCUAUGACCCCGGUGCAAGAUUUCUGCCAGCACAGAAGUUCCAGGCGAUGUUAUUGCCUACAGAGAACAUCUCAAUUGAAUCUACAGCAAACUAGCAAAGGAAGUGUUAGAUGACAAAAAGACCAAGGGUGCAGAGCAAACCGAAGCCUGGAGCAAUGGAGUGGUGCUGCUUCCAGUGGCUGCAAUGGACUUUGGAUCAGGCCAUGAAAUCAACUCAGAUAAAAUCUCCAGGAGAGCACAUGGUUUUGUCUUUGCUCAGGCAAAGUUUGAAUUGGCUUCACUCACUGAGGGAUUAGGCAGUUCGUUUUCCAAUAUAUGUAUUAGGAAACUUUACUUUGAGGUCAAUGCAGAACACCUAAACCAAAUAAAUCAAUUUCCAGGUGAGUGUAAAGGAUAUAAAAGUAAUUCACUUCAUAUUUCUCAGAUUCAUCUAUGCAAAUGUCACAACCUUGGCCUAGACAGCAAUCUGCCAGCCCAAGUACAAAGAUAUUUAAAAAAAAAUGUUUUGCACCUCCCUACUUUGCAUUCUCUUUCUAGUAGACAGCAGGGCUGCUGCAUCUUUGUUGUCACUGGAAGAAAUGGCACUGGGCUGCCAGACUUCAUAGACUGGUUUCACUGAUUCAGUUUAGUCAGUCCAACAGCUGUCUUCCAGCUCCACUCUCCUUACCAGCGUCAGUGCUCCCGUCACUUUAGGCUUCAAAGAAAGAUAAAGAUAUCUUUUUUCUAAAUAAGUUUUUGAUUCCAGGGCAUGACUGUGUACAUAGGAGUCUGUCCAACUCAAAACAAGGUUCCACCUUGCAUAGGAUUGGCUCAUCUGUAUAAACUCAGGUGUCACUGAGGGAGAAUAAAAGGAACCCUAUGGAAUAUGUCUUGUGAGAAAAACACAUUUCCCAGGGUAAAAGACUUUGAAAAAAGUGUUUGUUAUUUUUCUCCAUAUCUUCCUCAUAACCUCUAAAAAGAAAGGCAAAUUCAGCAAUGGUUAUAAAAUUUAUAGUUCUCUGUGUUCUUAAUAGCAUAUUGAAAAGAAUAAAGUUACUGGACUAAGUUAUUUA